rnacentral:rRNA from 1 species
CGGAAAACGGUAAUAGUGCGUGUAAACAUACUCCCAAGAAAAUCCGCUAAACUUAAUCUUAUAGGUACCCGUACCGUAAACGGACACACGUAGUCGGGUUGAAUAUACUCAGGCGCUUGAGUGAAUCACGGUUAAGGAACUAGGCAAAUUGACCCUGUAACUUCGGGAUAAAGGGUCCCUACCCGGUGACGGGAGGGCGCAGAGAAUAGGUCCAGGCAACUGUUUAACAAAAACACAGGGCUGUGCAAAAUUGAAAGAUCACGUAUACAGCCUGACACCUGCCCGGUGCUGGAAGGUUAAGAGGAGAUGUCAUCGCAAGAGAAGCAUUGAAUUGAAGCCCCAGUAAACGGCGGCCGUAACUAUAACGGUCCUAAGGUAGCGAAAUUCCUUGUCGGGUAAGUUCCGACCUGCACGAAUGGUGUAAUGAUCUGGACACUGUCUCAACCGUGAGCUCAGUGAAAUUGUAGUAUCGGUGAAGAUGCCGAUUACCCGCGAUGGGACGAAAAGACCCCGUGAACCUUUACUAUAGCUUAACAUUGAAUUUGGGUAAUUGAUGUGUAGGAUAGGCCGGAGACUUUGAAGC